rnacentral:rRNA from 1 species
UACGUAGGGUGCGAGCGUUGUCCGGAAUUAUUGGGCGUAAAGAGCUUGUAGGCGGUCUGUCGCGUCUGCUGUGAAAAUCCGGGGCUCAACCCCGGACUUGCAGUGGGUACGGGCAGACUAGAGUGUGGUAGGGGAGACUGGAAUUCCUGGUGUAGCGGUGAAAUGCGCAGAUAUCAGGAGGAACACCGAUGGCGAAGGCAGGUCUCUGGGCCACUACUGACGCUGAGAAGCGAAAGCAUGGGGAGAGAACAGG